GGCGAACGGGUGAGUAACACGUGGGUGAUCUGCCCUGCACUUCGGGAUAAGCUUGGGAAACUGGGUCUAAUACCGGAUAGGAGCCAUCUUUAGUGUGGUGGUUGGAAAGUUUUUCGGUGUAGGAUGAGCUCGCGGCCUAUCAGCUUGUUGAUGGGGUAAUGGCCUACCAAGGCGGCGACGGGUAGCCGGCCUGAGAGGGUGUACGGCCACAUUGGGACUGAGAUACGGCCCAG
rnacentral:rRNA from 1 species